AUGAUCCUGUGGCUGAACUUGGUGCCUUUCCUAGCAGUCCUGAGAGGUGUCCAAACUGAGGUCAAGCUGGUGGAGUCUGGAGGGGACAUGAGAAGACCUGGAUUCCCUCCAGCCUCCGGAUUCACCUUCAGCAACAAUGGGAUGCACGUGGAUGACACAAUGUGUAGGGAAAGGAUUCAAAUGGGGCCCUACAUGAGUACAGCCUCAUCUCCAAUUUACUACUCAGAUAAAGUCACAGGAGGGUUCACCACCUCCAGGGAUGAUUCUCGCAGCCAGCUUUAUCUGCAAAUGGACAACCUGAAAGCAGAAGACAUGGCGGUCUAUUACUGUACAAGAGACACAGUGAGAGGACGUGAAUCUGAAGCCAAGCAAGAACCUUCUCUUCCUUGA